rnacentral:lncRNA from 1 species
UUGUGAUCUAGGUGGUGUGCCCAAGGCCCAGGGGACCAAGGCUAAGGCCAAGGUCCAUUAUUCAUGAGGGCUUCAUGGAGGCUCUAGGGCUAGUUGGGCCCUAGGUUGAAAGGCUGUGGGCCUUUCGGGUUCUUGAGGUCUAGGUUAUGUGGGCCUCAAGGGACCAACUCUUUAUGGGUCAGGUCUGAGCCCAGGAUAAGUAAGAUU